rnacentral:rRNA from 1 species
AGAGUUUUGAUCAUGGCUCAGGAUGAACGCUAGCGGCAGGCUUAACACAUGCAAGUCGAGGGGUAACGGGGUGCUUGCACCGCCGACGACCGGCGCACGGGUGCGUAACGCGUAUACAAUCUACCUUGUAGAGGGGAAUAGCCCAGAGAAAUUUGGAUUAAUGCCCCAUAGUAUUAUUGGAUAGCAUUAUUUAAUAAUUAAACAUUUAUGGCUACAAGAUGAGUAUGCGUUCUAUUAGUUAGUAGGUAAGGUAACGGCUUACCUAGACUUCGAUAGAUAGGGGUCCUGAGAGGGAGAUCCCCCACACUGGUACUGAGACACGGACCAGACUCCUACGGGAGGCAGCAGUGAGGAAUAUUGGACAAUGGGCGAGAGCCUGAUCCAGCCAUGCCGCGUGCAGGAAGACGGCCCUAUGGGUUGUAAACUGCUUUUAUAGAGGAAGAAACAUCCCGACGUGUCGGGACUUGACGGUACUCUACGAAUAAGGAUCGGCUAACUCCGUGCCAGCAGCCGCGGUAAUACGGAGGAUCCAAGCGUUAUCCGGAAUCAUUGGGUUUAAAGGGUCCGUAGGCGGGACAAUCAGUCAGCGGUGAAAGUCUGUGGCUCAACCAUAGAAUUGCCAUUGAUACUGUUGUUCUUGAAUACUUAUGAAGUGGUUGGAAUAUGUAGUGUAGCGGUGAAAUGCAUAGAUAUUACAUAGAACACCGAUUGCGAAGGCAGAUCACUAAUAAGUCAUUGACGCUGAUGGACGAAAGCGUGGGUAGCGAACAGGAUUAGAUACCCUGGUAGUCCACGCCGUAAACGAUGGUUACUAGCUGUUCGGCCGUAAGACUGAGUGGCUAAGCGAAAGUGAUAAGUACCCCCU